rnacentral:rRNA from 1 species
AGAAUCAACGCUGGCGGCGUGCCUAACACAUGCAAGUCGAUCGAGAAAGUGGAGCAAUCCAUGAGUAAAGUGGCGCACGGGUGAGUAACACGUGACUAACCUACCCUUGAGUGGGGGAUAACCUAGGGAAACCUGGGCUAAUACCGCAUAAUACCUUCGGGUCAAAGGAGCAAUUCGCUUAAGGAGGGGGUCGCGGCCGAUUAGUUAGUUGGCGGGGUAAUGGCCCACCAAGACUGUGAUCGGUA